rnacentral:rRNA from 1 species
GACGAACGCUGGCGGCGUGCCUAAUACAUGCAAGUAGAACGCUGAAGGAGGAGCUUGCUUCUCUGGAUGAGUUGCGAACGGGUGAGUAACGCGUAGGUAACCUGCCUGGUAGCGGGGGAUAACUAUUGGAAACGAUAGCUAAUACCGCAUAAGAGUAGAUGUUGCAUGACAUUUACUUAAAAGGUGCAAUUGCAUCACUACCAGAUGGACCUGCGUUGUAUUAGCUAGUUGGUGAGGUAACGGCUCACCAAGGCAACGAUACAUAGCCGACCUGAGAGGGUGAUCGGCCACACUGGGACUGAGACACGGCCCAGACUCCUACGGGAGGCAGCAGUAGGGAAUCUUCGGCAAUGGACGGAAGUCUGACCGAGCAACGCCGCGUGAGUGAAGAAGGUUUUCGGAUCGUAAAGCACUGUUGUAAGAGAAGAACGAGUGUGAGAGUGGAAAGUUCACACUGUGACGGUAUCUUACCAGAAAGGGACGGCUAACUACGUG